rnacentral:rRNA from 1 species
GAUGAACGCUGGCGGCGUGCCUAAUACAUGCAAGUCGAGCGAACAGACGAGGAGCUUGCUCCUCUGACGUUAGCGGCGGACGGGUGAGUAACACGUGGAUAACCUACCUAUAAGACUGGGAUAACUUCGGGAAACCGGAGCUAAUACCGGAUAAUAUAUUGAACCGCAUGGUUCAAUAGUGAAAGACGGUUUUGCUGUCACUUAUAGAGGGAUCCGCGCCGCAUUAGCUAGUUGGUAAGGUAACGGCUUACCAAGGCGACGAUGCGUAGCCGACCUGAGAGGGUGAUCGGCCACCCUGGAACUGCGCCACGGUCCAGACUCCUACGGGAGGCAGCAGUAGGGAAUCUUCCGCAAUGGGCGAAAGCCUGACGGAGCAACGCCGCGUGAGUGAUGAAGGUCUUCGGAUCGUAAAACUCUGUUAUUAGGGAAGAACAAAUGUGUAAGUAACUAUGCACGUCUUGACGGUACCUAAUCAGAAAGCCACGGCUAACUACGUG